CAUUAACUCCAUGCGCCCCAUCACCCCUAACAUAUUUUUCCAGCACAAAGAAUCUCUGGAAACAGACUAAUCUGGUAUUUGCUGAUCAAACGCCAGCCAAGAAAUGUCAGGUUGCUGCAAACGCUCCCUGUCCCCACCAGCCCUUCCCUCCUUCUCCCCUUCCCUCCUUCUCCCCAGUCCCACCUCACAUGGGGGCUCUUUGUAAGAAAGCAGGUAGCCCACGCCCAACCCCGAGCCCUUCCCUGCCUGUGUGCCGGUAGUCAAAGGGACCACCCUCAUUUCUGCGGGUCACAAAAUAGGGGUACCUGCCCCCUCGGUUCCCCCUCUGAACCGGGGUCUCCAGGUGGAGGGUCGUCACACAGAUAUCACUGCAAGUAAUUUCUCCUGUUCACCUGAGCUGAGCCAUGAGCCCAGGAGAAGGGGACCCGGAAUCUGGCGACCGUCAGAGCUGGAGAGGGCACCUCAGAUUUUUCCAGGUCUCCUCGUUAUUCAGAUAAAGGAGCAAGGCCAGAGUGGGGUCGCCUCUGGAGGGCCGGCACGGGCACCCGGAGCUGUCCAAACCCAGACGUCAGUGCAGAGGGCAGAAGGAGGUGGGACAGGAACAGAGGCAGAGGGACAGAGGAACCUUCUGGGUGUUCUUUUCUCCGUUUUCUGAGUUCUUUAGAAGAGGAUUUUUAACAAUACAAAGGAUCAUAAAGAGCGUCUGGGGGAAAGAUGAACGAUAUCAGAAGCAAGGAGAGACAGAGAAAGAGGACUGCAGAAUCUAUUUUGAGUAGACUGGGAAGAAAGACCCGAAGAAAAGAGAGGAGGGGACAUCAAGGGAGAGACGGAGGGAAGAUCCGACACCGGCCUUGUGGUCCAGCAGGGAAACUGAGGCAGCAGCAGGACUCAGACAGGCUCAACUUCAAGGUCCGCCGAGGGGCCCGAGGACGGAAGGUGUCUGUCCCCAUCCUACCCAUCCUUCCAGCUGUAACCCAAGAGGAGAAGGACAGCGGAAGCGGGAUGUGACCUUCCGGAUCCCUGAAAUGGAAAAUCCCAAGUGUGGGCCCGGAGGGGGCCAGUUAUUUGGGGAAUUCAGGCAUGAGCCCUGAGCCCUGAGAGUGGAUUUGCUGGCACAGAGGUCCGUAAUCCCUCCGGAGGGAGUUCCCUCUGGGGCCAGAGAGGACCCAGCCCAGCGAGCGGGCACAUCAGGCCUCUGGAGCCGAGGCCCCAUCCUCUCCCUCCUUCCCUCCCGGCUUGUCUGGGCUCAGGGCUCCCAGACCUGCUCUCCCUCCCCCUGCUGGCUUCCCUCCACU
rnacentral:lncRNA from 1 species